GACGAACGCUGGCGGCGUGCUUAACACAUGCAAGUCGAACGGAAAGGCCCUGCUUUUGUGGGGUGCUCGAGUGGCGAACGGGUGAGUAACACGUGAGUAACCUGCCCUUGACUUUGGGAUAACUUCAGGAAACUGGGGCUAAUAUCGGAUAGGAGCUCCUGCUGCAUGGUGGGGGUUGGAAAGUUUCGGAGGUUGGGGAUGGACUCGCGGCUUAUCAGCUUGUUGGUGGGGUAGUGGCUUACCAAGGCUUUGACGGGUAGCCGGCCUGAGAGGGUGACCGGCCACAUUGGGACUGAGAUACGGCCCAGACUCCUACGGGAGGCAGCAGUGGGGAAUAUUGCACAAUGGGCGGAAGCCUGAUGCAGCAACGCCGCGUGCGGGAUGACGGCCUUCGGGUUGUAAACCGCUUUCGCCUGUGACGAAGCGUGAGUGACGGUAAUGGGUAAAGAAGCACCGGCUAACUACGUG
rnacentral:rRNA from 1 species